CCGGCUUCCUGGGAUGGGGUAGGUGUCCGUGGGGCUGCACGGCCGCCUUGUGCUGGUCCACGUGCUGGAGAGAGCGCGCUGAUUACCGCCAGCCGACUCGCUGAGGCCCGGAGAACGUGGUGACCUUAAGUCAUUGCCGCAUCGGGACCUGGGCUUCAGUAGCGCAUAUUUCCACAACUCCAGAGGCCUCCUCACCAGUGUUUGAUUCUGGAGAAGAAAGAUCAUACCGUUUUUUAAAGCACAAAUAUUAGCCCCAAAAUUCAGAAACGAGAAAAGUUCUUUUUUGUUUUGGGUGGGCUUUACAGUUGAACAUAAUGAUGGGAUUUCUUGUUACAUAUUCGUCCGUGCACACAAUAUAAUUUGGCCAGUGUGAUUCCCAGUAUUUCCCCCUUUCCCUCCCCUCCUCCCCCUUCCCUUCCUCUAUGUGACUGAUCUCCCUUCAACUGGAAUUAAUAAAAGUUUAGAGUUCUGACUUGUACUUCUUUAACGCAUCAGUAUGUGCAUUUUGCUCCCCCAGCUUCAGUGCUAGGAAGCAAAGGCCACAUACGUGAAAUAAAACAUACAUGAAAUAAAACCCCUCCCCCGUGUGGCUGGGGUUCCUGUCGGCUGGGAGGGUUAGUCUGCGAUGGCCCUUAGUCCCUCCCAGGCCCCAGGCCCGCUCCUGGUUCUGCUGUUAAACCACACUAAGGAGUAAAGAGGUUUCUUCAGAAUCGCUAGCAGACACAGAGGACAAGUUUAUGUAUUCUUCAUGUAUGUGGCCUUUGCUUCAUUAUGUGCCUAAGAUCCUAGCCCUUAUCCAAAUGCUUUUGCAUGAGCCCAGAACCUUGGGCAGCCUGUAAGGAGCAGUUGGUUUGAAGCUAUCUAUUCUUCCUCUGGUGGGGCGGGGUUGCUGGGACAUUUGCUAUCUGGGUGACCAAGGUCAAGAGCAGACACUGAAG
rnacentral:lncRNA from 1 species